UCGUCUAUUUGCCGCAACGGCCCGCAAGGGUUUGGCUCGAGCCGGAGGAAGAACCAGGAUAGCUCUUUAGUCGUUCUGAGCCUACCACACCGAAGUCCCCUCGCUCCGCCGGCGCCAUGGCCGCCGCCGCCAUGCUUCACCUCCAGAAACAACUCCUCUCCCUCGGCCACGCCGCCUCCCCUCGCUUCUGCUAUCUCCACCGCGCCGCCUCCCCUGACCUCUUCUCUCUCCACCGCUCCCUCUUAUCGACCGCCGCCUCGCUGGGCCACAUCGCCGCCGAGGACUACCUUGUUACCACCUGCGGUCUCACGCGGGAGACUGCCCGGAAAUCCACCAAGUACAUAUCCCACUGGAAGUGCACCUCCAACGCUGACUCCGUCCUCGCCUUCCUCGCCGGCCCAGCGCUCCGCCUCUCCAAGGCCGACAUCGCCAACGUCGUAGCCUACGACCCGCGCAUCCUCAACAGCAGUGUCGAUAAAAGCUUGAAGGUGUGCAUCGCCAGCUUCCGCAGCCAUGGCUUCUCCGACGCCCAGGUCCAGACCUUUGCCCGCACGGUCCCCUACGUCUUCCGCUCCUUCAAAGUCCAGGAGAAGCUCGGAUUCUGGAUUCCCUUCCUGGGAUCGCCGGAGAUGUUCCUCCGCGUCCUCAAGCGCAAUUACUACCUCCUCACGUCGGACCUCGAGAAGGUGGUUAAGCCAAACAUCGAGCUGCUACGAGAGUGCGGGCUAAGUGUUUGCGUUAUUGCCAAGAUGUGCAUUCCCAGCUCGAGGCUGCUCACCAGCAACCCAGAAACCGUGAAGUCCAUCCUCGUGCGUGCCGAUAAGCUCGGGGUGCCACGCCAUUCGCUUAUGUUCAGGCAGGCUGUGUCCACGACGAUGGGCCUUGGUGCGGAGACGGUGGUAGCCAAGCUUAAGUUCUUCAGCGAGACGCUCGGGUGCUCUGAGGCUGAGGUGCUCAGCAUGGUGAGAAGGAACCCUGUGGUGCUGAGGUGCUCCAGGGAGAAGCUUCUGAGUGUCUCGGAGUUCCUGAUCAAGGUCGUAGGCUUUGACACCGGGUGCAUCCUUAGAAGGCCUACGCUGCUGAUGUAUAGCAUGCGCCGAUUGGUGCCCCGGUAUUACGUGAUGAAGGUGCUCCAAGAGAAAGGACUAACACGGAAAGAUCAAAAUUUCUACACAUUGGUCACUCUUGGUGAUGAGUUGUUCCGAUGCAGGUAUAUACACCCCCAUAAGGAUGUUCUUCCAGGCCUGGAUGAUGAAUACACAAAUGCUUGCAAAGGGAAACUGCCUGCUGGAGUUGUGCUGUGAAGGAUCCUGCUUGUAUGCUCCUCUGUUCUGAGUCUCCACCAACCAUCUAAAUGGCAGGAUCAUUUUGUUCUUACUGCAUUUGGAUACUCCUGAUGUGUGCUCUACAACCCAUGAUGCUGCUGCUAGCAUCGAAAUUCUGAUGAAAACUUACUGUGCUCCAUAACUCGGAAGUAUUUCAUUUCUGAUUGAACAAUGGGUUUGGAAUGAAAUUUCCUCUGGCUCUCUCUUGUUUAUAGAAAAUGGGCAUCAUGUUCUUACGGAAUGCGUACAAUGCUUCAUAGUGUGACAUAGUGGAAACCGUAACUGUAUUUCUGGACAAUUCGGGACAACAAAAGGCAGCACCCUCGCAGUCCUCUCAGAUCAUCAGCCAUGCGGGCCGUACGAUCUUGUCACAUGCGCAUCCCUGGACGUUAGAUCCGAUUGUCCCAUGGGCGCUGCUACAAAGAGAAGAAUUUUGCAUGAGUUGGGAAGAGAAGAAUUUUGCACCUAGUGCACCAAAUCAGUAGCACACACAUGUUUUUUUAUUUUGUCGUUUUUGAACAAGAAAUACAUAUAGUUGCUGACUUUUGUCUAUUUCUUGACCCUCUGUUCUGCAGAUAAUUUUUGGUCUGAGCACCUUUGGUUCUUACCAGUUAUGUUGCAUGGUCGUCAUGUAUUGGUAUGUUAAGUUGGGACGAGGUUGUAAAAUGAUCUUGCAAAGAUCUACACCUGCAUUCCCCACCUAUUUUUCUACCAGAAUGAUAACUAUUUGCAUGCUGGGCAGAUGUAUUAGCUAAUUAUCCCAUCCAGUUCCAGGAGAUUUAGAGCUGCAGGGGAUGCAAUCCCAGGAGACUGAGGAGCUGCAAACCCAUGAGCUCAGUCUAUAUAUAUGCUUCUACAUUGGAAAAUAUUCUCAGCCAUGAACUAGUGAGAAAAGCGUUCAAUCUUUUAGAUGAGGUUAAUUUGUGCUGAAGAAAUACUCAGGGCAAAUUGAAGAGGUGACCAUUCUGUUUCUUACUUGUCACAUACUAUAUAAGAGUUCAGUUGUGGAAGAAAUUUGAGGGGAGGGUUAGGAUAAAUGGAUACUGUAAUAGGCAGUUUUUUUUUUUUGAGAAUCUGUAAUAGAGUUCACUGAAGUGAUGAUAGCAGGUGGUGAUCUGGUGCUUCUAAUGGCAAGUUUCAUUGGUAAAGUGGAGCUGAUGCUAUAUUCUGAUAAGGAUGAUAUAUUUUCUUGAAUUAAGAAUAGUAACUUUGCAGGCAUUCUAUUUUUUUUAUCACUGCUCUUGGUAUUUGUUUACUGCCGGUACUGUGAGAGUGUGAGUUUCUCUUGGUUGGCGCAAUGCACUAAAUGGUCAGCCAAUUGUGAGAUGAAGUCACAAGGAGAUGGCAUGUUGUAAUGUAUGGAAUCUGUGGAGCUCACUCAGUUUUUCAUUGCUUUGGAGAAACUGUCAUGUUCUCAUGUUAUGCAGCUCAAUUCGUUGAAAUAUUGUGUUUCAUAAGAUCAACUGAAAAGCAAUUACAUAAAACUCUAUUUACUAUUGCUUUUCAAAAGAUAUAACUAAUGUGGUUCUUGCUAUAGAAUUCAUAUUUCAAAUCUGACGUGUUCAAAACUGCUGAGAUACUAAAUUGUAGCACAUAUAUGUAGGCCCAAAGGAUGUAAAGAGACGAAGGGAAAGGGAACAAGAUUUGCAAAAUCAGGAUGAGACGUUAAGUAGCAUGAAACACAGACACCUGUUGCUGUAUCCCAUGACCCUGAUGUUGAAAACUUUGGCAUCAAGAUGACAAGACCUCGUGUUUUUUGUUGCAUACCUCGUAACAUCUGGUAAAAUCGCAGCCGUCUUUAUAUGUUAUAAUUUCGAGGCCACCAAUGAGUAAACUACAGUCGUAUUUUAUCUGAUAAACUUUUCUAUUAAACCUAUCAUUCACGCCAAUUUAAAAGUGCACAAAUGUGAUGUUUACCUACCCAGUGUCUCUCUGCUAAUCAAGUCAAAGGUGUGCUGUCCAGAGGAUGUGCUGCUAGAUAGUUUGAUGGAAAACUACUGAUACUAUAUAGGAGGAGGAAUUACAUGUGGGAGACAUUAUGUCCUGGAAGGAAAAGGGAAGCUGGCACUUCGUUUUUCAUGACGACGGAAGCUGGAGAUUUUCGACAGCCUGCACUCUGUCUUUGAUACCAAAGAGAUAAAUCCCAGUUGAUUUAUGUUCGUGACCUGCAUUUUAAACCAAUAGUUCGUUUUUCAGUAUAGCACGAGCACCCGUUCGUGACCUGCAUUCAACAAUCCAAGUAUAACGAGCGUUAUGUGCUCACAAGUAUGCAUCUGCUCACAUAUACUGAUCGUUCCUUUUCUUAUUUGUCCAUAUAAUAAUUACAUUUUAAACCAAUAGUUUUAGGUUGCUCAGGUGAUAUAAAGUGCAGCUCUAAUGAUUUAA